ACUCUCUUGACUUGCUGAAAACAAAGACAGGCGGUGUCAAGGAUACACCUGGCACACUCGAUUUGUUGCUCUCUGUUCCAUGCCCAGAGACAGGACCAAGAAUUCACCAAGGGCACAGGAAGCCAUAACCAAGCCAUUCCCCUGAGCACAUGAGUAGAAAGCAGCAGUGGGUAAAAGGCAACCUGCCAUUCAUGAAGAAGCAUUCAGAACACAACGGUGCUUUAAAAACACAAGCACAGAAGAAAGGGAACCAUCCACACAC